rnacentral:rRNA from 1 species
UACGGUGGGGGCAAGCGUUGUUCGGAAUUACUGGGCGUAAAGGGCGCGUAGGCGGCCUCUGCAAGUCGACUGUGAAAUCUCCGGGCUUAACCCGGAAAGGUCAGCCGAUACUGCAGGGCUAGAGUGCAGAAGGGGCAACUGGAAUUCUCGGUGUAGCGGUGAAAUGCGUAGAUAUCGAGAGGAACACCUGCGGCGAAGGCGGGUUGCUGGGCUGACACUGACGCUGACAGCGCGAAAGCUAGGGGAGCGAACGGG